rnacentral:lncRNA from 1 species
GGAAAAAAGUCUUGUAAUCAGGGUAUCCUUCAACCAAACAGGAACUGAUAGCUACCUGAGGUUUUUCAAGAAAGUACUCAGUAAAUUGAGUUCAGUUCUGAGUUCUCUUGCUCAAUACUAAUAAAUAGUUUGGGUGAUUGUGGCCCUCACCAAGAUACUCUUCAAUUUACAGAAUUAAAUUGAACAGAAUUCUAAGAACAGAAUUAUUUACAACGAUCAAAUUUUUUUCCUUUUGUAAGAAAAUAAAACUUCAAUUUAGCAUUAAAUAGCUGCAGAGAUUAUUUUCUCUUCCUGAUGCUCACUGUCCAUGCAUGAAGGAUGACCUCGCCACGGGAGGGCCACAGUGAGACGCAGGAGAGCGCUGUGGACAGAAGCACUGCUUACCCUCGCACAGAGCUGCAGAGAUGAGGAAGGCUGUCAAGAAGGCCACAGCAAGCUUGGAAGUCAUGUUUACUCAGGAAGCACGACACAGAAGUGAGCUCACCCACAGAAGGUUGUGUGGAGGAGAGUGCCGCUUCCAACUGCUUUUCACAAAGGGUAGUUGGUGAGCAGUCAUACGCCUUUAUCUGCAACCAGCCCAAGGCUGAGGACAAGGAGUUCCUGAAUUACAUUCCCUUCUACAGCAAAGUAAGUGUUUAUUCAAGCAAUGCACUUCCCGUUGUUCUCAACUCUAGUGUUUCAGAAACUCAGCUGCCGAGUUACUCAUCUAUAACAUGUUGACUGUAUUGUAGGAGGUGUGAAUACUACAAAUAAAAUAUAGUACGUGAUUCCAAGAAGUUUUCGGUCCAGUGUUGCCUCUGGAUCAUUAGCCACACAAGCAAGUGCCACGUGGCCUUGGGUGUUUAAAUACAGAUGACCAAAGGAUUUCUA